AAAUCCGUCGACUUUUAAAAUCGUGAGGGUUCAAGUCCCUCUAUCCC
rnacentral:tRNA from 1 species